AACUUAAACUGGGUAAAAUAUAUAUUUGUGUAUUGCAUCUUGUAAUUAGUUUCAGCCUCGUAAAGUGAAGUUCGUUUGCCUCCGGAAUCCAGCGUCACCAUCUGUUGUGUUGAUUGGAAGCAGAAGGAAAUGGAGGAGCUAAAAUCAUUCGUCGAUGCGGAAACAUAAGAAAAACUUGAAGAUGCGAAAAUAGAUGACAACUCUCUUUGUAUGCUCAACAACCAAGACAUGAUUGAGAUUGGUCUUGAACUUGGUCCACGGAAAAUAAUCCAAGAAUACAUAGCUCGUUUGAAGACACUUUCUCAACCAGGACCAUCAACUAAGAAAUCUCAACCGAAGGAAAAUCAUCAGGGUACAUUGUCAUCACCGACUACUGUUUUACAAAAAAAAACUGUCUGGUUCAGCCGACAUACGUGCAACACUUGAGAAAAGCAAACCAUUCAGAGGAAUAUUUUACAACAAACUGCUAGCAGGUAUUACACCGAAGCGUAAUGAGAUUUGCCUAAUGGUUCGUCUACUAUGCCACGGCAGGUUUUAUGAUGAUCUAAUCGACAAGAACAAACAACCAGGAAUACUAGAGAAGCACCAACUUGCUCUGGAUAUACUGGAGGCCUUUCCACAUCUGCAGAGUACUCGUCCGUUGGAGUUCGCUCCCCCAGAGGCUGCUUAUUUUGGUGCAACGGUGGCAAAGGGCCCGGUCAUCAUCAUACCGGAUUCAUCGAAAAUAGGAUGAACAACAUGCGUAAAGAAGUGCCGAAGGAUAAGCGGAAAUUUCGUCGCACAGUUAAACUUGCACCCAACGUGGAUGAGGCGGACCGCGAGAAAUCAAAAUUGUGUGCUGCUCUGGCAGCAAACACCGACAACAUCAAGCAAAUUGGAGAUUUAAUGAAAGAUUAAUUUGAUUACUACAGAAUGUUGCUUUUCACUAAUUCGGCACCCACAUGCAUUCUGGACACAUUUCCACAUUUGUGCUCAUUUAGCGGUAUA